rnacentral:rRNA from 1 species
ACUGCCUGCCCAGUGACUAAAGUUAAACGGCCGCGGUAUCCUGACCGGCAAAGGUAGCAUAAUCACUUGUUCCUUAAUUAGGGACUAGCAUGAAUGGCUAAACGAGGGUUCAACUGUCUCUUAUUCUCAAUCAGUGAAAUUGACCUUCCAGUGAAGAGGCUGGAAUAAAAAAAUAAGACGAGAAGACCCUAUGGAGCUUGAAUUAACUAGCUUAAUUAAUAUAAUUUAACCUAAUGGGAUAACAAAAAAAAGGUAGGCUAGCAAUUUCGGUUGGGGUGACCUCGGAGAAUAAAAAAUCCUCCGAAUGAUUCUAGCAUAGAUUAACAAAUCAAAGCAAUAUUUAAAACUUAUUGACCCAAAUUUCUUUUGAUCAACGGACCAAGUUACCCUAGGGAUAACAGCGCAAUCCUAUUCAAGAGUUCAUAUCGACAAUAAGGGUUUACGACCUCGAUGUUGGAUCAGGACAUCCCAAUGGUGUAAAGCUAUUAAUGGUUCGUUUG